CCGGGCUCAACAGUCGGUGCGCGGUUUAUUUACGCCCCGCGCGGUGCAGAAUGCUCGUCCCGAGCAGCGGGGACACCCUCGGCCCCAGCGGGCGCUCGCCGCGCGUCUGCCGGGCCAGCUGUAGAUGUAGAACUCCUUUCUUCUUUCAAAUGAGGAAAUACCCAGAGAGUGGAGUGUGGUAUUUGAGUCCUUUGAUAUGACUAACAUCUCUAUCUCCAAUCAAUCCUCACAAGGAACUUCUGGAACAUCAUGAUGUCUGUUGCUGGUAUCGAAUGCUGGGGCUACUGCAUCAUCAGGUGACAAAGACAAAAAGUGCUUUGGAUCUGUCUCUGUAUCUGGCUCUUCCUGGUAGUCUGGUGUAGGAAUGCUAAUGGGGAGUGACGUCUUCCUCUUGAGUGUGGUUGAGACUGACAUCUCAAUGCCUGCGAUAGUGGACCCCUGUACCACCAAUAAGGACACUGGCAUACCAAAAGAAUACAGCUGUCUUGUUGGGUAUUGGCCAGUCCACAGCUAUUCCUUACAGACUGGAGGCAGUUGAGCCCUGUAGGGUAACCUGGGAGGUACAUCCAUAGUGUCAAUAACUGACCUCAGAGGAGCGACGAGGAGAAUGUAUGCCCUGGUAAUGGUGAGCAGUAGACCACUGUCAUGUGCCAAAGUAUAUGGGACUGUUGGUAUUAGAGUCGAUAAAUGUCUCAGCUGAGAUGACGGUCUUGGUUCUCUGGGCUUAUCCUCCAAAGUGAGCAUUGACUCCGAUGAAUGGGUCAUUGUAGCUGGGGUCGGUGCUAGAGUUGUUUGCUACAUCGUAUACUGCUUUUCCUCAACCCUUGACACCAUGUGGGGCAUUGUGGGAUUUAUCUCCGGAGGCUUUAUGGCGUCUGUCCUUAUGGGAUGAAACAGAUCCCUCUGGAAUCUCUGUAUUUGAAGAUACUUCUUUGAUACCAGAAGUGUUGGUACCAGCAUUGAUGCCAAUGAUGUUGAAGAUGGCUUUGAUGCCAGUGCUAGAUUUUGCACUGGUCUUUAAUGUUGCUUGUCUUCUAGGUGGGAUGCUGGAUGAAGCUAGAAGAAUUCCGGAAUUUGUCUCCCCAGGAUCUGAAACCUUCAUGGACUGUGCCAGAAAAUGGAGCUUUAGCCUCAUAUCUCGCAACUUGCACAUUCUCAUGGAGAGUGACAAGUAUACCGAGAUGAUGUUCCAUCUAUGAGUCCUGCUGUGUCCUCCUUUUGGGGGAGU